CAUGGCGGCCGCGGGAAUUCGAUUAUCGUAUUACCGCGGCUGCUGGCACGUAUUUAGCCGUUCCUUUCUGGUAAGAUACCGUCACACAUUGAACAGUUACUCUCAAUGUCAUUCUUCUCUUACAACAGUGUUUUACGAGCCGAAACCCUUCAUCACACACGCGGCGUUGCUCCAUCAGGCUUUCGCCCAUUGUGGAAGAUUCCCUACUGCUGCCUCCCGUAGGAGUAUGGGCCGUGUCUCAGUCCCAUUGUGGCCGAUCAGUCUCUCAACUCGGCUAUGCAUCAUCGCCUUGGUAAGCCAUUACCUUACCAACUAGCUAAUGCACCGCGGGACCAUCUCUUAGUGAUAGCAGAACCAUCUUUUAAACAGUUGAUAGGCAUCAUCUGUUGUUAUCCGGUAUUAGCACCUGUUUCCAAUCACUAGUGAAUUCGCGGCCGCCUGCAGGUCGACCAUAUGG
rnacentral:rRNA from 1 species